GCUCUGACUUUAUUGCACUACUGUACUA
rnacentral:ncRNA from 2 species